ACAGUUUCAUCCAUUCUGGACAUUCAGUGAUAAACAAUCGUCUACUAUGAGAAAAGAUGGAAGAAAAAACAGGGUCAGUUUGUGAUUGAGGAACUCUGGAUGUGUAGGGUGGAACUCUGCCUGCUGCCCCAGUGAUGGCAGAGGGAGACAUAAAAGGCGCACGAGGCGUUAGAGUGGGAGAGAGAGACCAGAGAGAGAGAGAGACUGUACCUGGGUGUGCUGGAUAGAAACCUUUACUCAUUUUUUUUUGUGUGUGACUACUUGGCCACUGAGUCCCUUUUUUGUUUAAGUUUUAUGAACAAUGCUGAAGAGUAAUAAAAACACUCACGUUGACAGUU